ensembl:lncRNA
CAUUAUCUUAAUGGAACAGUGCGUUGUUGUUGCCGGGUGGAUUUUCUCCCUCUCUCUCCCUCUCUCCCUCUCUCUCCCCUCUCUCUCUCUCUCUCUCCUGCACACCACCGACUGGCUGCAUGUCACCCAGAUCACAGUCAAGAACCCUCCCUCACAAUCAUUCCAGUUGCUGAAUAAUACAAAGCAAACAGUGACCUACUUUCGGGAGCAGGGAACAAGCGAGAGGGAAGAGCCGGAGUGGAGUCCGGCGGGAGGCGGACCGGGCGGAGGAGCCGAGGCGGAGCAGGAGGCGGAGCAGCAGGAGGCGGGGGGGCGGCCUUCGUUUGAAAGCCUCCUUUCUGCACACUUUGUGAGCCUCCUGCAUUCCUGCAUUCUGCCCUUUGCUCCCUCUGCAGCUGCAGAGCGACGUGGAGCCGCGGCACAAAUGUGACAGACAGAAAAACAAAACAUGAACCAGAGAGUCGGUUGUCCUGGAGACAUGAUGCACCUACUUCACUGGAGGCCUUACAUCAUUGUUGUGCUGCAAAUGUUACAAAACGGAAAAAGGUGGAUGGGUGUCGCAUCCCGGAGUCCUCAGCAUCCUGGAGUCCUGCAGCAUCCUGUAGUACUCAGCAUCCUGUAGUCCUGCAGCAUCCUGUAGUACUCAGCAUCCUGUAGUCCUGCAGCAUCCUGUAGUACUCAGCAUCCUGUAGUCCUCAGCAUCCUGGAGUUCUGUAGCAUCCUUUAGUCCUCAGCAUCCUACAGUCUUCAGCAUCAUGGAGUCCUCAGCAUCAUGGAGUCCUCAGCAUCCUGGAGUCCUGCAGCAUCCUGUAUUCUGCAGCAUCCUGUAUUCCUCAGCAUCCUUUAGUCCUCAGCAUCCUGUAUUCCUCAGCAUCCUUUAGUCCUCAGCAUCCUGGAGUUCUGUAGCAUCCUGUAGUCCUCAGCAUCCUGGAGUCCUCAGCAUCCUGUAGUUCUGCAGCAUCCUGGAGUUAGGGGGUCCUGCAUGUCGGACUUCUCGUGAAGCAUUCCGCUCUGUGAAAGAAGAAGCAUUCUGUACUUGACACAGGAUAGAAAACAAUUAAUUAAAAAACAUGAAGAUCCAUCAUCUGAGGACCAUGAAUAUGAAGAUUACUUAUUGUGAUAUUUACAGUACCAGCAAAGAUUUUGACACAUUUUCUCAUUCAAUUCCAUCAGAAUGUGUAUCCAACCCUUUGACUGGUUCUGUGUGUAAGUGUAGGUAAAAGGAAAAGUUUGGAUUAGAGAAGCAAUCCAUUAUCUACUAUUAUCGAAUUUUAAUAAAACUAAAACUUGCCAAAGAAUUUGGAUGCUAGAUAUUUGAUUAUAUAUGUAUAACAUAGCAAACCUUUCUGUGUGAC